GCCAGCAUGGCACAGUGGUUUGAGUACUGAACUAUGACUCUGGAGACCAGAGUUUGAUUCCCUGCACUGCCA